rnacentral:tRNA from 1 species
GGGCGCUUAGCUCAGGGGUAGAGCACCAUCCUGACGCGAUGGGGGUCGCAGGUUCAAAUCCUGCAGCGCCCACCA